UACGUAGGGUGCGAGCGUUAAUCGGAAUUACUGGGCGUAAAGCGUGCGUAGGCGGCUUCGCAAGUCAGGCGUGAAAUCCCCGGGCUUAACCUGGGAAUUGCGCUUGAAACUACGGUGCUGGAGUGCGGCAGAGGAAGGUGGAAUUCCACGUGUAGCGGUGAAAUGCGUAGAGAUGUGGAGGAACACCAAUGGCGAAGGCAGCCUUCUGGGUCGACACUGACGCUCAUGCACGAAAGCGUGGGGAGCAAACAGG
rnacentral:rRNA from 1 species